GUGUUGUGAAAUGUUGGGUUAAGUCCCGCAACGAGCGCAACCCUUAUCCUUUGUUGCCAGCGGUCCGGCCGGGAACUCAAAGGAGACUGCCAGUGAUAAACUGGAGGAAGGUGGGGAUGACGUCAAGUCAUCAUGGCCCUUACGACCAGGGCUACACACGUGCUACAAUGGCGCAUACAAAGAGAAGCGACCUCGCGAGAGCAAGCGGACCUCAUAAAGUGCGUCGUAGUCCGGAUUGGAGUCUGCAACUCGACUCCAUGAAGUCGGAAUCGCUAGUAAUCGUGGAUCAGAAUGCCACGGUGAAUACGUUCCCGGGCCUUGUACACACCGCCCGUCACACCAUGGGAGUGGGUUGCAAAAGAAGUAGGUAGCUUAACCUUCGGGAGGGCGCUUACCACUUUGUGAUUCAUGACUGGGGUGAAGUCGUAACAAGGUAACCGUAGGGGAACCUGCGGUUGGAUCACCUCCUUACCUUAAAGAAGC
rnacentral:rRNA from 2 species